GCCCCGCCCCUCCGCGCGUGGCUUCGCUCGGCGCGCAGAGGCCGCCGGGAGCUGCGUUGCGCGGUAUGGCUCUUGUUGGGCCGGGCGGCUGCCCCGCGGUGCUGCUCCGUAGUGGCCGCAGCAUCCCGGUGCUGGGGCUCGGUACUUCCCAUCAAGGUGGCUAUUCCCAUGAUGCUGUGGUCCAUGCAUUACGGCAGUGCGGCAUUCGUCAUAUUGACACAGCAAAAAGAUAUGGCUGUGAAUCUCUCCUCCAAAAAGCUAUCAAAGAAAGUGGUGUGAAGCGGGAGGACCUCUGGAUAACUACCAAACUGUGGCACAGUGAUUAUGGCUAUGAAAACACAAAAAAAGCCUGCUUGGAGUCAUGUGAAAGGCUUGGUGUUGAAUAUCUUGAUCUUUAUUUGAUACACUGGCCGGAUACUCAUUUUCCAGGUAAAAGCAAUCAGGAGGUUCGAGCUGAAACCUGGAGAGCAAUGGAGGAGCUUUAUGAGAAAGGUGUGUGUAGAUCAAUUGGCGUCAGCAACUUUCUUAUCAGUCAUCUUGAGCAACUACAGGAAGACUGUCUGGUUACCCCACAUGUUAAUCAGGUUGAAUAUCACCCUUUCCAAAGACCUCAGGAGCUGGUGGACUAUUGUAGGAGCAGAGAGAUUGUUUUUGAAGGAUACUGUCCUCUAGCUAAAGGGGAAGCACUCACUCAUCCUAGUAUCAUUCAGCUGGCAAAGAAAUAUGGCAAAACUCCGGCACAGAUUUGCAUACGCUGGAGUAUACAGAAUGGAAUUGUGACUAUUCCGAAGUCCACAAGAGCAGAAAGGAUACAGGAGAAUUGCAAGGUGUUUGAUUUUACAAUAGCAGAAGAUGAUGUUGAAAUUCUAAAUGGAAUGCACGAUGGGAGACAUGUUUCCUGGGACCCAAGCCUUAUUGUGUGAAUGAAGGCUUCGAUUUUAAUCUGAGCGAAGAAGAUGUGGAAUUGUUGAACAUCAUGAAUAUCAACAGAAAAUAAAUGGAUAAAUGGAUUGUGGAAAGCAUAGCUUAAAAACGGAUUGUUUCCAGCUUCAGAAGUGGUGAACUUAAAAUUUAAUUCAUUUUAAACUGAAGGAUAAGUUGUUGGAUACUCGAAGUAUCUAGUCAACACCAAUUAACAAUCAAAAUUGGAUGGGUGAUGGUCACACACUCAUCUGUUGCAAUUGUGAGUCGUCCUGGUGCCAGCACUGUGAGAGUGCUAUCUUCUGCUGGUAUCAGAGGCUGCUGACACAGGCUUUGGGAAUAGCCCUACUGCAUUUUUCUGCAAGACAGCAUUGUUUCCUUUUCCUCAAUUAACAGUUACCAGGAUUAAUGCUGGAGAUUAUUUCAUUGAUAAGUUUUUUUAUUUAUUUUCAGGCUCUUUACUUUGUAUUUCUUUUUAAAUGAUCUCUUCAUAAAGUACUCUGAAAUUCCCAGUGUUGUUCCCCAUGCCGGUGGGAUGAGUCUGC